AUUGAACGCUGGCGGCAGGCCUAACACAUGCAAGUCGAGCGCGCGGCGGACGGGUGUGUAUUGUCUGGGAAACUGCCUGAUGGAGGGGGAUAUCUCCUGGAAACGGUAGCUAAUACCCCCUAUCAUCUGAUGUGCCCCGAUGGGAUUAGCUCGUAGGUGGGGUAACGGCUCACCUAGGCGACCAUCCCUAGCUGGUCUGAGAGGAUGACCAGCCACACUGGAACUGAGAAACGGUCCAGAUUCCUACGGGAGGCAGCAGGGGGGAAUAUUGCACAAUGGGCGCAAGCCUGAUGCAGCCAUGCCGCGUGUGUGAAGAAGGCCUUCGGGUUGUAAAGCACUGUCAGCGGGGAGGCGUUACCCGCAGAAGAAGCACCGGCUAACUCCGUGCCAGCCGCCGCGGUAAUUC
rnacentral:rRNA from 1 species